CUUGGAUUAGGGCGGUUUGGAAGAGCAGAGGCUCCAACCCAGAGCAGUCUGGAAAUGGUAGUUUCCAGGCUCCCCCACCCCCACUACCACGCAGGCGCCCUCCAGUGAAGGCAACGGAUGCUGUCGCCUCGGUGACGUCACUCCUGGCACGCAUGACGUCACCCCCACCGAGCAUGCUAGCUGGCAGGCGAGGCUUCUGCAGACAAGUCAAAGAUGCCGGACUUCACGUUCACUUCUUAAGCUGGUGUCCUGUCCCAAGCCCACUCCGGAAUGGCUGUAAGAGCUGGUAGCAAGAAAUGCAGUUUUCCAAGAGCAAUAGAGAAAAAGAACGUUCCGGACAGAGGGAACAGCACAUACGAAGGUCAAGAGGGUCCUGGGAUCGAGCCCCACAUCGGGCUCCCUGCUCGGC